CCAGACUCCUACGGGAGGCAGCAGUGGGGAAUAUUGGGCAAUGGGCGCAAGCCUGACCCAGCAACGCCGCGUGAAGGAAGAAGGCUUUCGGGUUGUAAACUUCUUUUCUGAGGGACGAAGAAAGUGACGGUACCUCAGGAAUAAGCCACGGCUAACUACGUGCCAGCAGCCGCGGUAAUACGUAGGUGGCAAGCGUUAUCCGGAUUUAUUGGGUGUAAAGGGCGUGUAGGCGGGAAAGCAAGUCAGAUGUGAAAACUCAGGGCUCAACCCUGAGCCUGCAUUUGAAACUGUUUUUCUUGAGUGCUGGAGAGGCAGGCGGAAUUCCCGGUGUAGCGGUGGAAUGCGUAGAUAUCGGGAGGAACACCAGUGGCGAAGGCGGCCUGCUGGACAUUAACUGACGCUGAGGCGCGAAAGCGUGGGGAGCAACCAGGAUUAGAUACCCCGGUACG
rnacentral:rRNA from 1 species